rnacentral:lncRNA from 1 species
AAAGAUGUUGAUUUUAUUCUUAUGUUAGUACUUAGCUAAACAAGCAAACAAUAAAGAAAUAAAAAGCGAAAAAAUUAUUACAUGCCAUGGGAAUGGGGGUACAUUUGGUCGAAUGGGGAUUUAAGAUAGAGAAAUAAUUAAAUAGGGCCCAAUCAACGAAUAAACAAUGCAUGAGUGUAAGUGCGAUAGGACGAUCUCAUUGUAAGAAGGCCCAAGAGUAAGCCACUGGAAAAAAAAACUAACCGA